rnacentral:rRNA from 1 species
GAUGAACGCUGACAGAAUGCUUAACACAUGCAAGUCUUUGGCGAAGCUGUGCUUGCACAGCCUAGCCAAGGCGGACGGGUGAGUAACGCGUAAGGAACUUGCCCUGCAGUCAGGGAUAACAGACGGAAACGACUGAUAAGACCUGGUAAAGUCAGGCGGACUCAUGUCCAGCCUGAUGAAAGGAGAUGCUGCAGGAGAGCCUUGCGUCCUAUUAGCUUGUUGGUGGGGUAACGGCCCACCAAGGCGAUGAUAGGUAGCCGGCCUGAGAGGGUGGACGGCCACAAGGGGACUGAGAUACGGCGCUUACUCCUACGGGAGGCAGCAGUGGGGAAUAUUGGACAAUGGGGGCAACCCUGAUCCAGCAAUUCUGUGUGCACGAUGAAGGUUUUCGGAUUGUAAAGUGCUUUCAGCAGGGAAGAAAAAAAUGACGGUACCUGCAGAAGAAGCGACGGCUAAAUACGUG